rnacentral:rRNA from 1 species
GACGAACGCUGGCGGCGUGCUUAACACAUGCAAGUCGAACGGAAAGGCCCUGCUUUUGUGUGGUGCUCGAGUGGCGAACGGGUGAGUAACACGUGAGUAACCUUCCCUUGACUUUGGGAUGACUUCAGGAAACUGGGGCUACUACCGGAUAGGAGCUCCUGCUGCAUGGUGGGGGUUGGACAGUUUCGGCGGUUGGGGAUGGACGCGCGGCUUAUCAGCUUGUUGGUGGGGUAGUUGCUUACCAAGGCUUUGACGGGUAGCCGGCAUGAGAGGGUGAACGGCGACAUUGGGACUGAGAGACGGCCCAGACUCCUACGGGAGGCAGCAGUGGGGAAUAUUGCACAAUGGGCGGAAGCGUGAUGCAGAAACGCCGCGUGCGGGAUGACGGCCUUCGGGUUGUAAACCGCUUUAGCCUGUGACGAAGCGUGAGUGACGGUAAUGGGUAAAGAAGCACCGGCUAACUACGUG